rnacentral:lncRNA from 1 species
AUCCAUCAAGUGUUGGCUGCACUGGGACAAGAUGAAAGGCACAUCCACAUGCUUACAUGGUGCUGCAGAUGUUGAGUGUCCCUUGGCAAUGAUGAGAAGAAUUCACAAUCUACAUCGGGCAAUCACAACUCAAUGGACGUGGCAUCGGAGGCAUGAGCACAAAGGGAUCCUGUCCCUGAGAGGCUGCGGGAACUUGGUCUCUUGGUGAUGAGCCUGGCAUCCAUGGCCACAGCAAAGCCACAGAGAACAAAGGCUGGCUUUGAGAAUCAGCCUUUUUAUGCAUGCAAACCAAACUUGACUACCACUUCAGCAGGCAAAAUAGGCACUAAUUCUACAAGCGAUUGCAAAUCUGCAUGGCAAUAGGCACUUACAGAGCUUGUUGAAGACAGCUAAUUCUUUAUCUGGGUAUCAGUGGCACUCUGAAUACCACAGUAGUUUAUUAACAGCCAUAGCCUGCAAUCAUUAUAGACUUAAGUUUCCAGGCUCUUAAGAAAAGAUUUGUGUCACAGUUCUUUGUGUUUUAAUUUAUUACUGAGUAAUACUGCCCUACUGAGGAUCUGAUACUUAUCUUCCAGCUGUGGUUGACUUAGUGGGCCUAAUUUUAAGCUGGGGGGGGGGUUAGAAAAAGGUUGUGUGCUUUCCUCAUUUCUUCAGGGCCUGAAUAACCUAAGGAACAUAAAGACAAUGCAGAAGGCCUGACUCCCCUGUCCCCUUGGCAUAACUCACUAGAAAUCUCUGAUUUAUUUCUGAUUUAUAUUAUCAAAAGCAUGAGGAGAUUCUGGUCAGUGAAAUGAACCAGUGAAAUGAAUACAGUUUCCAUGUUCACACUCACCAGUGACUCUGUGGGGUCAAAGAUGAACUGGGCACCCUGGUUUUCCCACUCUUCCUUUCACCUGUCUUGACCCCAGCUCAAGAACAACAGGCUCAUUGAUUCACCACACUCCUUGGGAGUGGUGUAGGAUGCCAGCUGCAGGCAGGGCUGACACCUACCUGAAAGCUUCUUGCAUUAAUAUAGUGAAAAGCAUUAUUCUGGAAAUCAGGCUUAAUGUGCUAUUUGAAAGCCAUUUAGUUUGUUUCUUUGUCUCUUUGCCUUGACUGUGCAGUUCCAUUGCUCUCACUCUGGCCUGCUUUCCACCUCACUGUUGAAUUUUCCUCCUAACAUUAGGAGUAUCAAGCUAAGGAGAAAUAAACUCCUCAGACUUUUCA